rnacentral:lncRNA from 12 species
UACACGCGUUACGCGCCUCGGCACGUGCACAGAGGCGGCCCACUCCGCCCCUGCGCCUUUGCACGCCUUUCGCCGGAUGUGCACCAGCGGCCACGAAGGGCGCCCCCUCCCCCCCGUAAGUGACCUCUGGGGGUCUCCCCGGUGUUCGCGGCGGGCACCGGCUCUGCACUGUCGCUGAAAUAGGGAAUCCCGGGGUCUUCCCUGUCCGCCUCGGGGGCCAGCGUGGAGGCUGACGGCCGACCCGUGCCCAGCGUAACGAUUUGCGAGUUGCGGGGGGCGGGGGGGGGUGCGGGGGGGAUUGAAAGAGACAUCUAAGACCCGGGUGAGGACGUGUGUCACGAGGAGCAAGCCCGCGACAUGCUGGAGGAACGACAGUCACUUGAAUCAGAGCAGAAGGUGUGGCGAGCAAGAGGGGAGCAGUUAGCUUUCUCCCCCAUAGGCUCAGCUUCCAGAGUUGGACGUGAGCAUCACAGUGUCAUACAAGUGGACUCCAAAAUGGUACCAGCCAACAGCAAGAAACAAACUAAUUCAUUCAGGAUCAUCUGGGAUUAAAAACGAUGCACAAGAAUAUACUAGUGAUAUGAAGAAUGUAACAAUAUGGGAGGAUAAAGAGUAAACUAAAUACUUCCUUCUGGAUUCUGUUUUCUGUCCAACCCCACCCCUGUCCUCAAACCUCUUCACUCUUACAUCAUACUCAGAAGCAAAUCUCUGGAAUGGCUUUGUUUUUAGUUCCAGUGGUUGAAUUUUGAAAUGGAAGGGAGAAUGGAGAAAUAGUAAAACAGACUAUUAGAAGUCUAGAUUCACAUAGAUGCUUAGUAUUCCCACUAGAACUAUUGGCCUGCCUUUGAAAGUACAAAAUCAUAAAACAACUUUGGAAAAUCAUAUUGUAUAAUAUACUGAAGUUGACCUAGCCAUUCCCUAUAAAAACUUUGGGAUUAGAAAUGAGACAAGAAUUCUUGUACUCAUCACUUCUAUUCAACUUUAUAUUAUAGUUCUAGCUAGAGAAAUAAGCUUUAAAAAAGAAAGUG